GGGACUGUUGUGGCUGCCUGUGUCCUGGUAACAAGAUCAGUGCUCAAGGGCCACUUAUGUGGGUGCUGCCUGGCUCCAGCGAAAGUCCUGCUCUUUGGGCAGCUGCAUCAGACCACACCACGCUUCAGAACUGAAAAUUUGCAAAGGACACAAAUCAAAGCAAGACAGUAAAAACCAAGAAAAGGAUGAGUAGCUAGGAUGCUGUUCCUGUUCUGCGGAUUUACAUCAUCUUAUGUUCAAUCCUGAUUGCAUCAACAUCUAGAACCAAGAUGUCUAAAAAAAUGGAUGCAGCCUUUUCCUUGGAAAAGUAUGUCAGUGUCUGAGAUGGUUACCCAAAAGAGAAGAAAUAUAUUCUUUAGCAUGCUGGAAAAUAAAUUUUUUCCUUCAGAGGAACACAGAUGGUGUAUGUGUUCUGAGAAGAAGCAUGUCGUACUGCCUCUCCCGUAAAUUUGUUCUUGUGGUUUGGUCAUGGGAAAUUCUUAUACGUUUCAUCUAGGAGAGUGCUGUUUUUGUCAUAUAAUCAAGAAAAGAAGAGUGUUGAUAAUAAUAACAACAGAAAGCUUUUAGAAAGAGAAAACUACUUAAUGAACAAUGCAGCCCACAUGAACAUUCAAUUCUAGACACUAUACAGCAGUGAGGAAGCAAGAGAAUGACCUCUUCCAAAACUCAGUGUUAACUACAGGAGACUUCUGGGUUCCAUCCUGGAUUCUGUGGUAGCUCCUUGUGCAAGUAUUAGCAGUAGAGGAACCUGAAAUCCCUCAAGGAUAGUGAGAGGAGAGAUAACUGGUAGAGAAGAGCAGGAGUCAUGACUCUGGAAGGAAGCCCUCUCUAAAUAUCCCAGGAGCGGGACUGAGGCAAAAUUCCAGCACAGGAAGUUGCAAACAGCUGAAAAAAACAGAAUCAAAACAGGAGCUACUGCCACACUAAUUAAACAGAACUUGUUCUUAGAAACUGAGUCUUCUGCAAAAGGGGAAGAACUAAUUCAGGGCCUCAUUCCCCACAACACCUUUUAGUUUUCAGGGAACUAUAUUUUUAAAUAUGGUCAAAAAUAAUGCCACAUUUUUUACUAUACUCUGCUUGCCAAACAUGAGUCCUGUGGAAACUGCCAAAUAUUAACUUUAAAUUUAUAAGCUUAGGCUCCUUCCAAAGGUUGUCAUACUCUCAGAAGCAAGGAUGGGCUGUGAAUUGUCCAGCAUGGGAAGAGUUACCAUUCUUCUACUAAAAUUUUUAGAAGAAGAACAAUUCUAAGGAACAUGUCAUGAAGCUGGAGUAUUGCGUUACUACCUUUUGGGAAGAAAACAUGUUCCCAUUUCAAUUGUGAAUUCUUUUAAAGAAGCAACAAGUUCACAGCAAUAUUUUCUUUUUCCAUCUCUUAUGUUGUUACUUACAUGAGAAAAAAAGAUAAUAGCACAAUAACUCAAGAGAGCCUAUCAAACAAAUCAGAAAUGUAUAAACUUGCCAAUAGAACAUCUUCUAUUUUAAUAGAAAAUUAAAUUUAAAAGUGUAGGUGAGAUUUUUUAAAUUUUUCUCUCCCUGUCUUUCUCUUUUCUCUGCUGUGAUUUACUACUAUGCACAUUUACAUCUAAUUACUGAAUACUCCUGCUGGUGUUAGUUAUUUUAAUAGAGAACAUUGGUUUAUUUUACCUAAUUUCUUUUUAAAAAAAUUAUUAUUUUUGUGCUGCUUCUGGUGACUGACAAGACACAUCACUCAGCACAAAGAAAAUAAAGAGAGCUAGGAGCAAGAAAGGUAAUGAAGAGAAAACUAGCACAAGUUUUUUUGGUUGUUUUUGGUUUUGUUUAUGUUUUUGUUUUUGUUGGUUUUGUUUUGGUUUGGUUGUUGUUGUUGUGUUUUGGGUUUUGGUUUUUUUUUGGUGGCUAUGAACAUAAACUCUAUUUGCUUGAUAAUAAAAAGACCAUACUCAUAAAAAAUUCAGGGAAAAUAUUUUCAAAUUAAAAGUUCCACACCAAGCCUGGACAAGAGAGAACAUUAUAUUUGAGGUUUGCACUCAGAAAUUGCAACAGUAUUUGGGUCUGUUUAUCUCCAGAUAAUGUUUUGAAUAUUCUAUUAUGGAUUGGGCUCAUAUAUUUGAAAAACUGAAACUUUAAUGUCAUUAUCUAUUAACCUGAAUUCAAGCACUCACUUGGUCUCCCUUAUUUGUUCUGAUCCUCUGAUCAGUACAACUCACUAAGGUUUUCACAUCCCAUUUCUAAUAAAUUGUGCAAAUCUGCUUUCCCUGGUCAAGACACAAAGAUUUUCUCUCUGAGAACCCAACUUUGAAAUAUAUAUUCAGUUCACAGUAGAGAGAACUAUAUGCCAUCCUACAAUGCCUAAGGAAACUGCUAAGAACACAGGAUCAGAUGCUGUUGCUAAUAAUAUUUUCAUGAUACAGAAGAAAUUAAUUACAUACAUUUUGGAUCUUUCAUGCUUUUGCUCAAAUUAUUGCAAUUGCUAGCUGAAUUAGGGCUUAUAUGUGUAUGUAUUCGUGUUUAUUUUCAAGGAAGACUAGGUGAACAUACACUUUGGGAAUUCUAGACAAGUGAGAUUUAAUGUCUUAGCUUGUUUUUCUGAAUCAAAAGACAUUUUGCUGGAUUGGAGGAGACAAUAUGAGAAUAGAAUUAAAGGACUUUUCAUAUCUAUUCCUGUUAGUGCACAGGAUGUUACAAGGAUUCCAGGAUGCAGCUGCUGAAAGCAAGGUAGCUAUGUUGCCUAAAUUCUGCUCAUGUUUGGAGUGACGUUGACAUUGAAAAUGAGUUCUAACUGCAGAUAGAGCUACAGUACCCCUCUCAUAUUUCUUACCACGCCUCUAGUUAGAGAAAGAAUAGAUUAGUCCUUGCUGCUGCUCAAAUACCACAGGAACUACAAUUGAAGACAAAUCCCUUUAUCAGACUUCUCUGUUCUAGGAUAUUUGGAAUGACAAUGAAUGUUAGGCAAGCACACAUGCCACUAACUUCACAUAGUUAGAUGCAGUGAAAAGAGCAUAUUGCAUUACAGUAGGUAUGAGGCAUUAGUAAGAAUGAUUUAGCCCUUUAAGAUGUUUUGCACUUUUUCAUUGCCGAAAAGAUAUACAGAAGAUUGAUCACUCAGUGGUCCAACUGUGCUGGAUUGUUUAAUUUUGGAAAAUUUAUGUCUUGUGUAUGUCUGCCUUUUUCUCACUACGUGAGAUGAUGGUCAGAAAAGACUAAAGACAAAAGUCUUUAAGAAUAUGCCUUGACUCAAUGAUUUAGAGGUAUACAACAUUUAGUAGUUGUACUCUAAUGCUGCAGAAAAUGUCAGGGUUUUUUCCUGACUUCUUUCGGAGAAGAGUUACACUUUGGAAACAAUAGAUUUAGAGUGCCUUAGGAAGUGUUUUUGGUGACAGAAGGAUGAACAACAGAGAAUUAUAAUGCUUUUAUGUUUCAUGAAAAAAACGUAAAUUUUUAUUUGUUUUGUAGUAAAGCUCAUAUAUUAGACUUUAUUUUUUAGCUCUAAAGACUGGGUCUAUGGCAGUUUCUAACGGCACUACAUCAUUUAUAUUGGCUACUUUUAUAAACUAUUGAAAAGUUUUGUUUAAGGAAGAUUUCCUUUUGCAUUGGUGAAGUAAGAUUUCAGUAUUCUUCUCCCAGCUUUUCUCUGCUGUCUCCUGAGAUGGAUAAUGAAGUUCUUCAGACCUAAAUCUAGUUACUAAUAUGCUCUUUACUUUUCAAAUCCUUUGAGAGACAGGUCCAAAAUCCAGCCUUUCUCUGGACUUCAUAGUUAGGCCUCAGGGAUAGUACGUGGUGUACCUUAUGUUGUCCAUUAUCCAUACAGAUAUUUCCCCUACACAUAUAUUCACACAGGAGGCUGAAUGGGAUGAUAUCUUUGCACCAUCUUGUUAACCUAGAUUUUUUAUUUUACUACUGUUUAUCUGCUCCCAUGGAAAAUCCACACUGACUCUCAUGGAUCAGGUUCAAAAGCAUAAUUUCCAAGCUCUACAAUCCAUUUCAUCUCCUUCGGUGAGACUGGCAAGAAAAAGAAGUGAUAAAAUGGAGGGUUACAUAUUUAAUGCAGCUUUCAAGAGGAAGUGUAGCUCAAUGUAUACCAGUAUUUUCUGUUAAAAGACUGAGGACUGCCUACAUUUCUUUUUACUGUAUUUCUUGGUGAAUGUCAAACAAGCUUCACAGAUCUGCUAGCCUUUGACUCAUUGUGAUCUUUGACAUCUCAUUGAUAUGGACGGGGUCGUAUGAGCUUAAAACCUGUUCUAAUAAAGUUAGAGAUUGUUGUGGGGAGGAGAAGUACUUGUCUCCAAGGCAAAGUAAUGGUUCAGUGGAGUCCAGUUAAUCAACCAUGCAAUCAUACUAAUAAUAACAGUGCUACUGGUAAUGUGAGCUACUCUUUUGUCUUGAAGUCCUGAUUAAGAUCAGGGCCCUCUUUUAUUACCCAUCCAAAAUUAACUUCCUGAUGGCUUUAUAGUCUGACAAAGAAAGACAGAGUCAAGGUGAGAGACCAAGUCUGUUAUCCCCCUUGGUGCAAAUAGACAAGUGGUAGUCAGAGAGAGAGAUCAAGAAAAACAUCCAGGACUAUACAGGAAUUCUUUGGCAUUGGACUAAGAACUUCAUAUGAUCCCCCUUAAGUCUGAAACAGUCCUUAACUACAAACAUGCUCUCUAUUCCACAGCAAAAGUUAACUGAGAAAUGGAUUGCAGGUACAUUUUAACAGAGGAUUCUUGUGGGGCAGAUGUUAGGGAGCUCUUCUGUAUUGCUUAGAUAUUAGCUGAAGAAUUUUAUCUCACUUAUUGCACCAUCACGUCUCUGUAGACUUAACAGUAAAAAAUAAAUGAAAAAGAGAGGUCAGCAUUGAGUUCUUUAUUCAUUCUAUUAAUUUGACAUGAGAAAUAAAUAUCAACUCUUUCCCCAGCAAAUUAAAUAAAUGCUUUUUGUACUUUGCAUACUGGAUAAGGAAUUUCUGUUAGGGAACUACCUAUGUCAGUAUGUGGUCACUUAUAUAGUUAAGAGACAUGCAUUAAUAUGUAUUUUUGGGCUCUUCUGCUUAUGUAUAUAAUUUUGUAUCAUUAAGAAAUUUCUUGAGAGUUUGUAUAUAUAAAGUAGCAGUGUUUUGGGGUGCUUUUUUUUGUUUAAUUAUGCUCGUAUUUUCCAUUUUACCACUCUCUAAAUGCUUGUUGUCUGUACCUAUGUUUUUGCUGAAUAAGCACUUAUGGAUAGAAGUGCACCACUGUCUGUCAGUGAUUGACAGAAAACAAAGCUUCCAGGCAAUGCAGACAUUGCAUUGACCUCCAGUGGUUGCAGGUGCAGAGUUAUAGUUCUCCUUUGAGUACACUGUCAGUGUUUAUUGAGGUGCAAUGACUUAUUUAGGUGCAGUGAUUCAAUGACUACUGGUUUUAGAACAUCUAGAUCUAAAGCAUAUUUCUUCCCAGCAUAAUGUAUGAAGAAAAGGACCAGAAAAGUUUAAUGUACUACUAUUUCUUUUUUGGCACUUAAGUUCUGCUGACCAGGGACAUUGUAAAUAUUUCUCCAAGUGCAGGGAAUUACCUACAAAGUUCACCAUAAAGCAGUUUCCUUCUGGUCUGAUUAAACCUAAGAAAGGUAUAAGAGGUGGAAAGGUUUAUAGGGUUCACUUGGGCCUCUGAUGUAUCACUGAAUUUGGUCUUGAGUGAAGCCCAAGUUGGUUAGAUCCCAUACUUAUUUAGGAAAUACUGCAUCCAGAUUCUCAACUAAAUCUACAGUCAGGAUGUUAAGAAAAGACAAAAAGUCAAGAGGACUAUCUUCCAGCAGAAGACAGCAAAAAAACAGGAGAAAAAAAUGUCUAUAGAACUGAAGGUCCACUUCCAAAGGAAUUUUGAAAGGCAGAUGUACUUUAUGAGAGUCAUUGUGACUAUAUUCAGUGCCACUGUGCUGUAAGCUUCUUUCCUUCCCUUCAAUGAAUAAACACCUGUUGGAGCUGGUAUUGCGGUUGAACAAUGAUUGUGAAAAUUUUGAGGGUCUUUUGAGGAGAACUUACUGUUCUGUGUAAUCCUCUAUUCUUAGCUCAAGCACAUGACCUGCUGCAAUUAAUCAAGGUCUUCUGAGGAAGCCUAAUGGUAUCAGUCUGGAUGAACAUAUUGAUCCCCUCAACCUUAUAGCCUAUGAACGUUUUGCUUAAUGAGGGUAUGGCAGGUUUAUUUCCUCUCUCUCCAUUUUUAUCUAUAUAGAGGUCUAAUAUAAUGUAGUUGAAAACAAGUAAAUGCUGUAUGAUAGCAAAAUAUAGCAUUUUCUGCUUUUCUGGAUGGAGUAUUAUCAGUGUUAUAGGAACCAUCACUUUCUUUAUCUCAUAAAAAAGCAAGCAGGAUUUCAAAUCUGUGGUCUCUCAUGUCAUGAAUCAUAAAUGAGUAUAUGGUAGAAUGAGGACUCUCCUUUCUGAAAGUGGUAUAAGGUUGCUAUACCCAGAAAAAUAGAGCUAUACAUUGAUACUUAAAUAACAGACACAGAUACUGAAUAUAUGAUUAUUUUUUCAGCUAAAGGGACAUCUGUGGUGGUCAGCAAAUAUGCUGACAUUUACACAGUACCAUAUAUGUUAAGGAGAAUUUGAGGUUACCCUUUUUCACCAAUUCUUUUACCAGACCAUUUGCUAUCAUUAGACAACUGUACUGCUUGUCUGAAGUGGCUGUACUAGCCAGAGUGAAAAAAAAAAACCUCUCCUUUGGGGAACAUGCAGUUUCAAACACCUAAGAAAUGUAGUGGCAUGCUGGUAACAGCCUGUACACAGCUUAUUUCCAGAGAUGAGAACAUGUCUUUCUAUUGCUUUGAUCAUUAAAACUUCAGUAUUCUCCCUUUGCUUAAAAGAAUAAAAACCUCUGAUUUACCUCCAGGAAGCUGAAUCCCAAAGACAGAUGAAAUGUUGAGUGAAGCUAAAACAGACAAAAGAAAGUUCAAGAAGUUUAAGAGCUUAGUUAAGCAGUAAUCCUAAAUAAUUUGCUAUGGAUUUGUUUCAGAUUUUUGUAGUUCUGCUUUUGCAGUAACUUAAUUUGUACCUUUACUCCAAUUUCCCAGAUUCCUGGAAACCAUGCAAGUUGUUAGGAUUUUAACUGUACCAUAUGGAAGAAAGCUGUCUUUCUCAAUGUACUGUAUUUUUAAUUACAGGACAGUACCUAUUUUCUGCUGCACAGAUUUCCUAAUUGUAAAUUUUGAAAUUUCUGUUCUAUGUAAAUAUAAUAUAGGAAACAAAAAUUCCAAUCUGUAAGGCAGUGUUGUAGACAUAGCAGCAUGAAUCAUUGUCCUGAAAUUUAAAUAAACCAAAGACUAAAUUUAUGCUCUAAAAUAAAAAAGAAAAAAGAAAACUCUGACAAAGAAUUGUUCCUACUUUGCAGAUGGGAAAUUGAGUCAAUGCAAGAUUAUGCGAUUUGUUGUGACCACGGUCACGCACGCAACGUGUGGCAACAUUGGUAUUGAAUUGCUUCCUCCUGACUGCCAAGCUUAACAGCAGAAACUUCUUUCUUUUCAUCAUAAUUUCUCUCUUCUUAACUCGUUCAUUUUCUGCUCUGGUGAGUGGAUGCCAUAGGGUGGCAGAAUGCCUGAUUUAUCAAACAUUUUUUGUUGAGAGCAUAUGUCAGACCUAGAGUACUUCCACUACUUUCCCUUUCAGUGAAGCCUCAUCUACAUACCUCCCACACAGCUUUCUAGAAGGGACAGCUGAGCACCAAGCACACCCUCAUUUCUUCUCCCAAUCAUUUUGCUAGACACAUAUGUUUUCAUUUCUAUAGCAGCAGCUCUAAUGUUCAGAUUUUGUCCAUUGCUGGGCAGAUGUUAACACUACAAGGAAGAGUUCCUCUGUGCAACAGUGGGUCUUUUGCUUUGUCUUUAUGAAGUAUUUGGAGUAGGUCACUUGCAUGCCAGUUCUUAAACAGCAUGUAAAGUAAUCUUAGUUAUUUUUGCUGAGAAGAAGGAAGGGGUAAACCGUACUGGAGAGGA